UUGUGGGCGCCGCUGUCUAAU
rnacentral:siRNA from 1 species